UACAGAGGUCCCAAGCGUUGUUCGGAUUUACUGGGCGUAAAGGGUGCGUAGGUGGCAGGGUAAGUUUGGUGUGAAAACUCCGAGCUCAACUCGGAAACUGCAUUGAAUACUAUCCUGCUUGAGGAUCGGAAGGGAGACUGGAAUUCUCGGUGUAGCAGUGAAAUGCGUAGAUAUCGAGAGGAACACCGGUGGCGAAGGCGAGUCUCUGGACGAUUCCUGACACUGAGGCACGAAAGCUAGGGGAUCAAACAGG
rnacentral:rRNA from 1 species